GACGAACGCUGGCGGCGUGCCUAAUACAUGCAAGUUGAGCGAUGAAGCUUGGUGCUUGCCCCAAUUUGAAGAGCAGCGAACGGGUGAGUAACGCGUGGGGAAUCUGCCUUUGAGCGGGGGACAACAUUUGGAAACGAAUGCUAAUACCGCAUAACAACUUUAAACAUAAGUUUUAAGUUUGAAAGAUGCAAUUGCAUCACUCAAAGAUGAUCCCGCGUUGUAUUAGCUAGUUGGUGAGGUAAAGGCUCACCAAGGCGAUGAUACAUAGCCGACCUGAGAGGGUGAUCGGCCACAGUGGGACUGAGACACGGCCCAAACGCCUACGGGAGGCAGCAGUAGGGAAUCUUCGGCAAUGGACGAAAGUCUGACCGAGCAACGCCGCGUGAGUGAAGAAGGUUUUCGGAUCGUAAAACUCUGUUGGUAGAGAAGAACGUUGGUGAGAGUGGAAAGCUCAUCAAGUGACGGUAACUACCCAGAAAGGGACGGCUAACUACGUG
rnacentral:rRNA from 1 species